rnacentral:rRNA from 1 species
GGCCUUGACAUACUAAGAACUUUCCAGAGAUGGAUUUGUGCCUUCGGGAACUUAGAUACAGGUGCUGCAUGGCUGUCGUCAGCUCGUGUCGUGAGAUGUUGGGUUAAGUCCCGNAACGAGCGCAACCCUUUUCCUAUUUGCCAGCGGGUCAUGCCGGGAACUUUAAGGAUACUGCCAGUGACAAACUGGAGGAAGGCGGGGACGACGUCAAGUCAUCAUGGCCCUUACGGCCAGGGCUACACACGUGCUACAAUGGUCGGUACAAAGGGUUGCUACCUCGCGAGAGGAUGCUAAUCUCAAAAAGCCGAUCGUAGUCCGGAUCGCAGUCUGCAACUCGACUGCGUGAAGUCGGAAUCGCUAGUAAUCGCGGAUCAGAAUGCCGCGGUGAAUACGUUCCCGGGCCUUGUACACACCGCCCGUCACACCAUGGGAGUUUGUUGCACCAGAAGUAGGUAGUCUAACCGCAAGGAGGACGCUUACCACGGUGUGGCCGAUGACUGGGGUGAAGUCGUAACAAGGUAAGCGUAGAUGA